rnacentral:rRNA from 1 species
AGUGAACGCUGGCGGUAGUCCUAACACAUGCAAGUCGAACGGCAGCACAGUAAGAGCUUGCUCUUACGGGUGGCGAGUGGCGGACAGGUGAGGAAUACAUCGGGAUCUACUUUUUCGUGGGGGAUAACGUAGGGAAACUUACGCUAAUACCGCAUACGACCUACGGGUGAAAGCAGGGGAUCUUCGGACCUUGCGCGAUUGAAUGAGCCGAUGUCGGAUUAGCUAGUUGGCGGGGUAAAGGCCCACCAAGGCGACGAUCCGUAGCUGGUCUGAGAGGAUGAUCAGCCACACUGGAACUGAGACACGGUCCAGACUCCUACGGGAGGCAGCAGUGGGGAAUAUUGGACAAUGGGCGCAAGCCUGAUCCAGCCAUACCGCGUGGGUGAAGAAGGCCUUCGGGUUGUAAAGCCCUUUUGUUGGGAAAGAAAAGCAGCAGGUUAAUACCCCGCUGUUCUGACGGUACCCAAAGAAUAAGCACCGGCUAACUUCGUG